UACGGGAGGCAGCAGUGGGGAAUAUUGCACAAUGGGCGCAAGCCUGAUGCAGCCAUGCCGCGUGUAUGAAGAAGGCCUUCGGGUUGUAAAGUACUUUCAGUCGUGAGGAAGGUGUUAAGGUUAAUAACCUUAGCAAUUGACGUUAGCGACAGAAGAAGCACCGGCUAACUCCGUGCCAGCAGCCGCGGUAAUACGGAGGGUGCGAGCGUUAAUCGGAAUUACUGGGCGUAAAGGGCACGCAGGCGGUUAAUUAAGUUGGAUGUGAAAUCCCCGGGCUUAACCUGGGAAUGGCAUUCAAGACUGGUUAGCUAGAGUCUUGUAGAGGGGGUAGAAUUCCAUGUGUAGCGGUGAAAUGCGUAGAGAUGUGGAGGAAUACCGGUGGCGAAGGCGGCCCCUGGACAAAGACUGACGCUCAUGUGCGAAAGCGUGGGGAGCGAAACGAGGGAUUAGAUACC
rnacentral:rRNA from 1 species